rnacentral:rRNA from 1 species
GAUGAACGCUAGCGGCAGGCCUAAUACAUGCAAGUCGAACGGGAUCUGAGGGUAGCUUGCUACCCGAUUUGAGAGUGGCGCACGGGUGCGUAACGCGUGAGCAACCUACCCAUAUCAGGGGGAUAGCCCGAAGAAAUUCGGAUUAACACCGCAUAAUAAUACGCUAACACAUGUUAAUGUAUUUAAAUAUUUAUAGGAUAUGGAUGGGCUCGCGUGACAUUAGCUAGUUGGUAAGGUAACGGCUUACCAAGGCGACGAUGUCUAGGGGCUCUGGGAGGAGAAACCCCCACACUGGUACUGGGACGCGGACCAGACUCCUACGGGAGGCAGCAGUAAGGAAUAUUGGUCAAUGGGCGCAAGCCUGAACCAGCCAUGCCGCGGGCAGGAUGACUGCCCUAUGGGUUGUAAAUUGCUUUUGUACGGGAAUAACCCUUUCUAUGUAUAGGAAGCUGAAUGUACCGUAAGAAUAAGGAUCGGCUAACUCCGUGCCAGCCGCCGCAGUAA